GCAGCAGUAAGGAAUAUUGGUCAAUGGAGGGAACUCUGAACCAGCCAUGCCGCGUGCAGGAUGACUGCCCUAUGGGUUGUAAACUGCUUUUGUCAGGGAAUAAACCUUUCCACGUGUGGGAAGCUGAAUGUACCUGAAGAAUAAGGAUCGGCUAACUCCGUGCCAGCAGCCGCGGUAAUACGGAGGAUCCAAGCGUUAUCCGGAUUUAUUGGGUUUAAAGGGUGCGUAGGCGGUCCUAUAAGUCAGUGGUGAAAGACGGCAGCUUAACUGUCGCAGUGCCUUUGAUACUGUAGGACUUGAAUCUAUUUGAAGUGGGCGGAAUAAGACAAGUAGCGGUGAAAUGCAUAGAUAUGUCUUAGAACUCCGAUUGCGAAGGCAGCUCACUAAGUUAGUAUUGACGCUGAUGCACGAAAGCGUGGGGAUCAAACAGGAUUAGAUAC
rnacentral:rRNA from 1 species